AGGGGAAUAUUGGACAAUGGGCGCAAGCCUGAUCCAGCCAUGCCGCGUGAGUGAUGAAGGCCCUAGGGUUGUAAAGCUCUUUCACCGGUGAAGAUAAUGACGGUAACCGGAGAAGAAGCCCCGGCUAACUUCGUGCCAGCAGCCGCGGUAAUACGAAGGGGGCUAGCGUUGUUCGGAUUUACUGGGCGUAAAGCGCACGUAGGCGGACUUUUAAGUCAGGGGUGAAAUCCCGGGGCUCAACCCCGGAACUGCCUUUGAUACUGGAAGUCGUGAGUAUGGUAGAGGUGAGUGGAAUUCCGGGUGUAGAGGUGAAAUUCGUAGAUAUUCGGAGGAACACCAGUGGCGAAGGCGGCUCACUGGACCAUUACUGACGCUGAGGUGCGAAAGCGGGGGGAGCAAACAGG
rnacentral:rRNA from 1 species